rnacentral:rRNA from 1 species
CAAUAGCGUAUAUUAAAGUUGUUGCGGUUAAAAAGCUCGUAGUUGGAUUUCUGCUGAGGACGAUCGGUCCGCCCACUGGGUGAGUAUCUGGCUCGGCCUUGGCAUCUUCUUGGAGAACGUUGCUGCACUUGACUGUGUGGUGCGGUAUCCAGGACUUUUACUUUGAGGAAAUUAGAGUGUUUCAAGCAGGCGCACGCCUUGAAUACAUUAGCAUGGAAUAAUAAGAUAGGACCUUGGUUCUAUUUUGUUGGUUUCUAGAGCUGAGGUAAUGAUUAAUAGGGAUAGUUGGGGGCAUUCGUAUUUAACUGUCAGAGGUGAAAUUCUUGGAUUUGUUAAAGACGGACUACUGCGAANGNAUUUGCNAAGGAUGUUUNCAUUG